UGGGUACUUAUUCAAUGUUUGUU
rnacentral:miRNA from 1 species